rnacentral:rRNA from 1 species
AUGCCUUCGAUGUCACUAGUCGUUGGCAGAUUUAUUCUUUGUGUCUCGCAUCUAACGCUAUACGUUGACCGCCUGGGGAGUACGGUCGCAAGAUUAAAACUCAAAUGAAUUGACGGGGGCCCGCACAAGCGGUGGAGCAUGUGUUUUAAUUCAAUGCAACGCGAAAAACCUUACCUGGCCUUGACAUGUAGAGAAUUUUUUAGAGAUAGAUUUGUGCCUUCGAGAACCUGGACACAGGUGCUGCAUGGCUGUCGUCAUCUCGUGUCGUGAGAUGUUGGGUUAAGUCCCGCAACGAGCGCAACCCCUGUCCUUAUUUGCCAUCAUUAGGUUGGGCACUCUAAGAAGACUGCCGGUGACAAACGAAGGAAGGGAUGGGAUGACGUCAUCCCAUCCGGCCUUUUAUGGUUGGGGCUAUACUGUGCGGUUGGGGUGACGAUGGGUUAACCCCAUCGCCUGCCGUUCCUCUAAUACCGGUCUUGUCCCCGACCGGAUGAUGGCAGACUCCUUGACAAUGUGAAAACGGAAUCUCUAGUAAUAUCGGAUCACAGUGCUGGGGGGAAUCCCCUUUCGGGCCUCUUGGCAGCGCCCCCCUACCACGGGGGUUGACUUUUAAAGAAAAGGUACACUAACCUUUUCGAGGCCGCUUUUAACUUUGUAGCAUUUGACUGAGGGGAACGUAAAAAAAAAACCAAAAA